UCUCUGAGGAUGAUUAUUGAGUGA
rnacentral:piRNA from 1 species